GUGCGGUGCCAGGGCCAUGAGGACGGAAUGGCCCGCGCUCAGGUCUGGCCUGUUUCAGGGAGGAAAGGAAUGACCAAGAAUCUUCCCUGUGCCUGGCCCUGGACCAAGCCUAAUCAACCAGCACGGUUUCGUGAAGUACCUACUGCGUGCCCUGGCCUCCACAUCCAGCCCCUACGUGAGCCCCAUCGCCCUGCUUGCCACAGACCAAGCCACGAGACACACUCCUGUGGGAGGAGCCUGUGCGGACGAGGAGGAGCCUGUGCGGACGAGGAGGAGCACAGCGACACGGGGGCUGAUGACGCCUGGACAGUGUGUUUCCACCCGCACCUGGUGACAGGGACGGACGGCAGAGACCUCUCCUGUGAGCCACCUCCCAGAAAUCCCUGCCUGCAACGAGUCUAGGAUGUCUUGUAACCUUGUGAAAGCCCUGGUUCCUCCUCUGCCAAGCGGGGGUUCUGCUGUUAGGAGGAAAAGAAAGCCAGGUACACGCCUGUAACUAACCAGCUGGGAGGCUGAGGCAGGACAAUAGUACGUUUGAACCCAG
rnacentral:lncRNA from 1 species